rnacentral:rRNA from 2 species
UUUUGACCUCGGAUCAGGUAGGAAUACCC